AAUGAACGUUGGCGGCGUGGAUUAGGCAUGCAAGUCGAGCGAGAACCCCGCAAGGGGGGACAGCGGCGAAAGGGACAGUAAUGUGUAGAUUAUCUGCCCUCAGGUCCGGGAUAGCUGCGGGAAACUGCAGGUAAUACCGGAUAACAUCUCCGGAUCAAAGGUGUGAUUCCGCCUGAGGAUGAGUCUGCAUCCUAUUAGCUAGUUGGUGGGGUAAUGGCCUACCAAGGCAUUGAUGGGUAGCAGGUGUGAGAGCACGACCUGCGUCAGUGGGACUGAGACACUGCCCAGACACCUACGGGUGGCUGCAGUCGAGAAUCUUCGGCAAUGGGCGCAAGCCUGACCGAGCGACGCCGCGUGUGGGAUGAAGGCCUUCGGGUUGUAAACCACUGUCAGAGGGGAUGAAAUGCAGGUGGGUUCUCCCAUCUGUUUGACAUAGCCUCAGAGGAAGGACGGGCUAAGUUCGUG
rnacentral:rRNA from 1 species